ensembl:lncRNA
CAGCUUGAGUGCCAAAUGUGAUUAUUUUUCCAGGUGGAAGGAGUGUGUGUGUGUGUGUGUGUGUGAGAGAGAGAGAGAGAAUGAGAUAGGAGGUGUGUGUGUGUGUGAGAGAGAGAGAGAGAGAGAGGGAGAGAAUGAGAUAGAAGGUGUGUGUGUGUGUGAGAGAGAGAGAGAGAGAAUGAGAUAGGAGGUGUGUGUGAGAGAGAGAGAGAGGGAGAGAAUGAGAUAGAAGGUGUGUGUGUGUGUGAGAGAGAGAGAGAGAGAGGGAGAGAAUGAGAUAGAAGGUGUGUGUGUGUGUGAGAGAGAGAGAGAGAGAAUGAGAUAGGAGGUGUGUGUGUGAGAGAGAGAGAGGGAGAGAAUGAGAUAGAAGGUGUGUGUGUGUGAGAGAGAGAGAGAGAGAAUGAGAUAGGAGGUGUGUGUGUGUGUGAGAGAGAGAGAGAGAGAGAGAGAGAGAGAAUGAGAUAGAAGGUGUGUGUGUGUGUGAGAGAGAGAGAGAGAGAGAG